AUUGAACGCUGGCGGCAUGCCUAACACAUGCAAGUCGAACGGCAGCACAGUAAAGACUUCGGUCUUUAUGGGUGGCGAGUGGCGGACGGGUGAGUAACGCGUAGGAAUCUGUCCUGGAGGAUGGGAUAACCCGAGGAAACUCGGGCUAAUACCGCAUGAUAUCGAGAGAUCAAAAGCAGGGGACCCUUCGGGGCCUUGCGCUCUAGGAUGAGCCUACGUCGGAUUAGCUAGUUGGUGGGGUAAAGGUCUACCAAGGCGACGAUCCGUAGCUGGUCUGAGAGGAUGACCAGCCACACUGGGACUGGGCCACGGCCCAGACUCCUACGGGAGGCAGCAGUGGGGAAUAUUGGACAAUGGGGGAAACCCUGAUCCAGCGACGCCGCGUGUGUGAAGAAGGCCUGCGGGUUGUAAAGCACUUUUAGUGGGGAUGAAAUGUGCAGGGUUAAUACCUCUGCAUUUUGACCUAACCCACAGAAAAAGCACCGGCUAACUCUGUGCCAGCCGCCGCAGUAA
rnacentral:rRNA from 1 species